UCCGGCUUAUCACCGGCGGUUUCCUCAGAGUACCCAGCUUGACCUGUUGGUAACAGAGGACGAGGGUUGCGCUCGUUGCGGGACUUAACCCAACAUCUCACGACACGAGCUGACGACAGCCAUGCAGCACCUGUGCACCUCCCACCCGAAGUGAAGGAGUCCGUUUCCGGUCUCCAUAGAGGGCAUGUCAAGUCUUGGUAAGGUUCUUCGCGUUGCCUCGAAUUAAACCACAUGUUCCACCGCUUGUGCGGGUCCCCGUCAAUUCCUUUGAGUUUUAAUCUUGCGACCGUACUCCCCAGGCGGGGUGCUUAACGCGUUAGCUACGCCACUGACUCCUACGGAGCCAACAGCUAGCACCCAUCGUUUACGGCGUGGACUAC
rnacentral:misc_RNA from 1 species